rnacentral:rRNA from 1 species
GAAUCAGCAUGUCGCGGUGAAUACGUUCCCGGGCCUUGUACACACCGCCCGUCACACCAUGAGAGUUGGUAACACCCGAAGUCCGUGAGGUAACCGUAAGGAGCCAGCGGCCGAAGGUGGGAUCGAUGAUUGGGGUGAAGUCGUAACAAGGUAGCCGUAGGAGAACCUGCGGCUGGAUCACCUCCUUUCUAGGGAG